GCGGGGAUGGCAGAGCCUGGCCAAAUGCGGCGGACUCAAGAUCCGCUCCCUUAGUGGGUGCAAGGGUUCGAAUCCCUUUCCCCGCA
rnacentral:tRNA from 1 species